rnacentral:rRNA from 1 species
AAUCAACGCUGGCGGCGUGCCUCAGACAUGCAAGUCGAACGAUUAAAGCUCUCUUCGGAGAGUGCAUAGAGUGGCGCACGGGUGAGUAACACGUAAGUAAUCUACCUUCGAGUGGGGAAUAACGUCCGGAAACGGACGCUAAUACCGCAUAAUGCAGCGGCAUCGUAAGAUGACAGUUGUUAAAGAUUUAUCGCUUGAAGAGGAGCUUGCGGCAGAUUAGCUAGUUGGUAAGGUAAUGGCUUACCAAGGCUACGAUCUGUAACCGGUCUUAGAGGACGGUCGGUCACACUGACACUGAAUAACGGGUCAGACUCCUACGGAGGCAGCAGUCGGAAUUUUGGGCAAUGGGCGAAAGCCUGACCCAGCAACGCCGCGUGAAGGAUGAAGUAUUUCGGUAUGUAAACUUCGAAAGAAUAGGAAGAAUAAAUGACGGUACUAUUUAUAAGGUCCGGCUAACUACGUGCCAGCAGCCGCGGUAAU